rnacentral:rRNA from 1 species
UACGAACCGUACAACCGUUAUUCGGAAUCACUGGGCUUAAAGGGUGCGUAGGCGGCCAUGUAAGUGAGAUGUGAAAUCCCUCGGCUCAACCGAGGAAGUGCAUUUCAUACUGCAUGGCUUGAGGGAGACAGGGGUAAGCGGAACUGAUGGUGGAGCGGUGAAAUGCGUUGAUAUCAUCAGGAACACCGGUGGCGAAAGCGGCUUACUGGGUCUCUUCUGACGCUGAGGUACGAAAGCUAGGGGAGCGAACGGG